rnacentral:rRNA from 1 species
CAGCGGAGGGAUCAUUACCGAGUUUACAACUCCCAAACCCCUGUGAACAUACCAUUUGUUGCCUCGGCGGUGCCUGCUUCGGCAGCCCGCCAGAGGACCCAAACCCUUGAUUUUAUACAGUAUCUUCUGAGUAAAUGAUUAAAUAAAUCAAAACUUUCAACAACGGAUCUCUUGGUUCUGGCAUCGAUGAAGAACGCAGCGAAAUGCGAUAAGUAAUGUGAAUUGCAGAAUUCAGUGAAUCAUCGAAUCUUUGAACGCACAUUGCGCCCGCCAGUAUUCUGGCGGGCAUGCCUGUUCGAGCGUCAUUUCAACCCUCAAGCCCCCGGGCUUGGUGUUGGAGAUCGGCGUGCCCCCCGGGGCGCGCCGGCUCCCAAAUAUAGUGGCGGUCUCGCUGUAGCUUCCUCUGCGUAGUAGCACACCUCGCACUGGAAAACAGCGUGGCCACGCCGUUAAACCCCCCACUUCUGAAAGGUUGACCUCGGAUCAGGUAGGAAUACCCGCUGAACUUAAGCAUAUCAAUAA